rnacentral:rRNA from 1 species
CUAGCUGUAAACGAUGGAUACUAGGCGUUGAGAGUAUCGACCCUCUCAGUGUCGUAGCUAACGCGUUAAGUAUCCCGCCUGGGGAGUACGCGCGCAAGCGUGAAACUCAAAGGAAUUGACGGGGGCCCGCACAAGCGGUGGAGUAUGUGGUUUAAUUCGAUGCAACGCGAAGAACCUUACCAGGGCUUGACAUGCCCGGAACCCUGCCCAAAGGCGGGGGUGCCUACGGGAACCGGAACACAGGUGGUGC